AUGCUCGCUUCGGCAGCACGUAUACUAAAAUUGGAAUGAUACAGAGAAGAUUGGCAUGGCCCCUGCACGAGGAUGAUGUGCAAAUUCGCGAAGCAUUAAAAAAAUUA
rnacentral:snRNA from 1 species